UGGGAACGCGAAGAACCUUACCAAGUCUUGACAUCGGAAUGACCGUCUCGUAACGGAGACUUCCCUUCGGGGCAUUCCAGACAGGUGGUGCAUGGUUGUCGUCAGCUCGUGUCGUGAGAUGUUGGGUUAAGUCCCGCAACGAGCGCAACCCUUAUCCUUAGUAGCCAGCAGUUCGGCUGGGCACUCUGGGGAGACUGCCAGGGAUAACCUGGAGGAAGGUGGGAUGACGUCAAAUCAUCAUGCCCCUUAUGAUUUGGGCUACACACAUGCUACAAUGGCGUAAACAAAGGGAAGCGAAGGAGUGAUCUGGAGCAAAUCUCAAAAAAUAACGUACUCAGUUCGGAUUGUAGUCUGCAACUCGACUACAUGAAGCUGGAAUCGCUAGUAAUCGCGGAUCAGAAUGCCGCGGUGAAUACGUUCCCGGGUCUUGUACACACCG
rnacentral:rRNA from 1 species